rnacentral:rRNA from 1 species
AGAACGAACGCUGGCGGCAUGCUUAACACAUGCAAGUCGAACGAGACCUUCGGGUCUAGUGGCGCACGGGUGCGUAACGCGUGGGAAUCUGCCCUUAGGUACGGAAUAACUCAGAGAAAUUUGUGCUAAUACCGUAUGAUGUCGAAAGACCAAAGAUUUAUCGCAUAAGGAUGAGCCCGCGUAAGAUUAGCUUGUUGGUGAGGUAAAAGCUCACCAAGGCGACGAUCUUUAGCUGGUCUGAGAGGAUGAUCAGCCACACUGGGACUGAGACACGGCCCAGACCUCCGUACGGGAGGCGAGCAGGUGGGGAAUAGUUGGACAAGUGGGACGAAAGCCUGAUCCAGCAAUGCCGCGUGAGUGGAUGAACGGUCCGUUUAAGGGUUAGUAAAGGUCUUCUUUUACCGAGGUAUGUAAUAAGUGACUAGUACC